GAUGAACGCUGGCGGCGUGCCUAAUACAUGCAAGUCGAGCGAACAGACGAGGAGCUUGCUCCUCUGACGUUAGCGGCGGACGGGUGAGUAACACGUGGAUAACCUACCUAUAAGACUGGGAUAACUUCGGGAAACCGGAGCUAAUACCGGAUAAUAUAUUGAACCGCAUGGUUCAAUAGUGAAAGACGGUUUUGCUGUCACUUAUAGAUGGAUCCGCGCCGCAUUAGCUAGUUGGUAAGGUAACGGCUUACCAAGGCGACGAUGCGUAGCCGACCUGAGAGAGUGAUCGGCCACACUGGAACUGAGACACGGACCAGACUCCUACGGGAGGCAGCAGUAGGGAAUCUUCCGCAAUGGGCGGAAGCCUGACGGAGCAGCGCCGCGUGAGUGAUGAAGGUCUUCGGAUCGUAAAACUCUGUUAUUAGGGAAAAACAAAUGUGUAAGUAACUAUGCACGUCUUGACGGUACCUAAUCAGAAAGCCACGGCUAACUACGUG
rnacentral:rRNA from 1 species